rnacentral:tRNA from 1 species
GGAUCUUUCGUCUAAAGGAUUAGGACAUAAACCUUCUAAGUUUAUAAUGUAGGUUCAAUUCCUACCAGGUCUA